rnacentral:tRNA from 1 species
GGUGGUAUGUCUCAGUGGUAGAGUGCAUGCUUAGCAUGCAUGAGGUCCUGGGUUCCCAGUACCUUCC